UCCCAUUGGUGCCACCCUAGGGAUUACAGU
rnacentral:piRNA from 1 species